rnacentral:rRNA from 1 species
CGGGGGGAGCAAGCGUUGUUCGGAUUUACUGGGCGUAAAGGGCGCGUAGGCGGCGCAACAAGUCACUUGUGAAAUCUCCGGGCUUAACCCGGAGCGGCCAAGUGAUACUGUCGUGCUAGAGUGCGGAAGGGGCAACUGGAAUUCUCGGUGUAGCGGUGAAAUGCGUAGAUAUCGGGAGGAACACCUGCGGCGAAGGCGGGUUGCUGGGCCGACACUGACGCUGAGGCGCGAAAGCCAGGGGAGCGAACGGGAUUAGAUACCCCGGUAGUCCUGGCCUUAAACGAUGGAUGCUUGGUGUCCGAGGUUACAUAGUCCUCGGGUGCCGUCGCUAACGCCUUAAGCAUCCCGCCUGGGGAGUACGGUCGCAAGACUG